rnacentral:rRNA from 1 species
CCACUGUUUAGGCAGUAUCAAAGGGGAAGUGAAACAUCUCAGUACCCUGUAAACCAAAUCAACCGAGAUAUCGUUAGUAGUGGUGAGCGAAAGCGAUAAAAAGGCAAAACGAAAAUAUUAUUAUUAUCCAGAAUGAAAAGAAGUUUUGUUUUUAAAUAAAAUUUCUACCUUAGAAGGUAAUAGUCCUGUAAUUCUUUUUUUUUUCGUUGUAGUAAAACAAGGCAAGUUAACCUUGUUUGAGUAUUGGGGGACCACCCUCAAAGCCUAUAAUUAUUUUUCUUAUCGAUAGUGAACAAGUACCGUGAGGGAAAGGUGAAAAAGAAGUUGCGACAGUGCAAAGAUCCUAAAAUUCCAUAUUUGAGUCGAAGCUAUAAAAAGCAACGGCAUACCUUUUGUAUAAUGGGCA